rnacentral:misc_RNA from 1 species
CCGCAUUUCUGCAGGCUUAAUUCUGAUACUUUGAAGAAUUUUCAAGCUCAAUUUUAGCUCUGGUUUACCUUCUCUCAAGAUCCUGGUAGUGUAGCCAUGGCUAUGCAGCAGCAACAUCUUGAUAAGAUGCAACUCCGCCAGAGUUAUCGUAAUCUCUGGCACACUGACCUAAUGCAUACCAUUCAGGCUGACACUCCCUAUUGCUGCCUUGCGUUGUGGUGUGGGCCUUGUGUAUCCUAUUUGCUUCGUAAAAGAGCUCUAUAUAAUGACAUGUCAAGAUAUAUGUGCUGUGCAGG